rnacentral:piRNA from 1 species
UAGUGUAGGGAAACAGUAGCAGUUUUUA